rnacentral:rRNA from 1 species
GUGCCAGCAGCCGCAGUAAUACAGAGGGUGCGAGCGUUAAUCGGAUUUACUGGGCGUAAAGCGUGCGUAGGCGGCUAAUUGAGUCGGAUGUGAAAUCCCCGAGCUUAACUUGGGAAUUGCAUUCGAUACUGGUUAGCUAGAGUGUGGGAGAGGAUGGUAGAAUUCCAGGUGUAGCGGUGAAAUGCGUAGAGAUCUGGAGGAAUACCGAUGGCGAAGGCAGCCAUCUGGCCUAACACUGACGCUGAGGUACGAAAGCAUGGGGAGCAAACAGGAUUAGAUACCCGUGUAGUCC